CCCACUGUAGCUCAGUUGGUAGAGCAUGGUGCUUGCAAUGCCAGGGUUGUGGGUUCAAUUCCCACAGGGGGGC
rnacentral:tRNA from 1 species